rnacentral:tRNA from 1 species
GGUGGCUCAGUGGUAGAGCACUUGCCUUGCAUGCCAGAAGCCCUGGGUUCGAUUCCUCAGCACCA